GCCCCAAUAGCUCAGUGGCAGAGCAUCUCCAUGGUAAGGAGAAGGUCUACGGUUCGAAUCCGUAUUGGGGCU
rnacentral:tRNA from 2 species